CUGGUGGGCUAUUGGGAUGGGAAUGGCUGUGAUUCAGUUUCCAAGUUGAGCUUGAGCAGCGAAAAGAAUGUAAAUGGGUCCCACAUUGACAUUGGUGAAUAAGAAGGCCUUGCAGUGCACUCCUUUUGUGUCAAUUUGAGGAUACAAAGGCAGCUCGUUGUUAUCUGGAGUCCUGAUGCAGAGUCUUCUUACAUUGUGAAAAGGCAUAGAGCUGAAGUAAGAAGAGAUAAGAUGCUUAAUUCAGAUGGCCGAAUAGUUAUAGAAGGCAAAGAGGAACUUAUGCAUCAGAAUGAUGGUGAAAAACCAUUCAAGACCCAACAAAUGGCUUUACAUAUAUAUGGCAAGUAAGUAACAGUUACAGAACAAAAUUUGAUAUGGAGGAUUGAUCAAGACACCAAUAAUGUUCAGUUAAGAAGUGAUAAUAAAGAGAGCUACAAACAGAUUCUGCAGCUGUCAUUUUCUGGUAAUGGCAUCCUUGGCAGACUCCAUGGUGGAUUCCACAGAAGCUGCAGCUUUAGACAAAACAUGCCACUUGUGUUCAAAUUUUCCUUGGGAUGGGACUGGUGAAUCACGUUCCUUGGCCUAGCCCUGCCGAUGACAGGUAAUCUAUUGUUUCACCUUCAACCCUUUUCUCCACAUCACCUUGUGCAUUUGUAGUCUCUAUCUCCUGGCAUAAGAGAAAAUGUAACAAAUUGUAUGAAAAUAACAUAAUUAUAUAUCCUUGUCAA